GACGAACGCUGGCGGCGUGCUUAACACAUGCAAGUCGAACGGAAAGGCCCUGCUUUUGUGGGGUGCUCGAGUGGCGAACGGGUGAGUAACACGUGAGUAACCUGCCCUUGACUUUGGGAUAACUUCAGGAAACUGGGGCUAAUACCGGAUAGGAGCUCCUGCUGCAUGGUGGGGGUUGGAAAUUUUCGGCGGUUGGGGAUGGACUCGCGGCUUAUCAGCUUGUUGGUGGGGUAGUGGCUUACCAAGGCUUUGACGGGUAGCCGGCCUGAGAGGGUGACCGGCCACAUUGGGACUGAGAUACGGCCCAGACUCCUACGGGAGGCAGCGGUGGGGAAUAUUGCACAAUGGGCGGAAGCCUGAUGCAGCAACGCCGCGUGCGGGAUGACGGCCUUCGGGUUGUAAACCGCUUUCGCCUGUGACGAAGCGUGAGUGACGGUAAUGGGUAAAGAAGCACCGGCUAACUACGUG
rnacentral:rRNA from 1 species